rnacentral:lncRNA from 1 species
AAUUACAAGGAAAAAGUUUCAUCCAAUAGAAUCAAUCCUAAAGAAUUAGUUACUCAUGCUUACAAGUAACAAUGGAGGUGAAAUCAUGGUGGAAAUUGAUUCCAUGGAGAAGAAUUGGAGUGAUCUUUGCUUAAUCUUGCAUCCAAGAUCCAAGGAAAGGAUGAUCAAAGCUUCAAUGGUGAUGUUUCUCUUCAAUCCCUGCACCAAAAUUUGUAACCCUUUUCAAUUGGAAUCAUUCCCCUUUUAUAGAUCUCCAAAAUAGAGCUGUAACCGCCAAAUUUCGCCCCAUGCAGAAUUAAUUUCGCACCAGGCGAAAUUCAUUUAACACGUGGAAGCUUCUUACAUGCUGAAAAAUGGCUUCAGCGGGAAAUUCCACUUGAGGCGUAAUUCAGGCUUAAAAAUUCACACUAGGCGAAUUUUCCAUGUGUGAAGACAGAAACUGCUCAA